rnacentral:rRNA from 1 species
AUUGAACGCUGGCGGCAUGCUUUACACAUGCAAGUCGAACGGUAACAUGGCGCUUGCACCGCUGACGAGUGGCGAACGGGUGAGUAAUGCGUCGGAACGUGCCGAGUAGUGGUGGAUAUCGCAGCGUAAGUUGUUCUAAUACCGCAUACGUACUGAGGGAGAAGGGGGGGCACUGUCGUGCCUCACGCUAUACGAGCGGCCGACGUCUGAUUAGCUAGUCGGUGAGGUAAAGGCUCACCUAGGCGACGAUCAGUAGCGGGUCUGAGAGGAUGAUCCGCCACACUGGGACUGAGACACGGCCCAGACUCCUACGGGAGGCAGCAGUGGGGAAUUUUGGACAAUGGGCGAAAGCCUGAUCCAGCCAUGCCGCGUGUCUGAAGAAGGCCUUCGGGUUGUAAGGGACUUUUGUCAGGGAGGAAAUCCCUAGUGCUAAUAACUCUAGGAAAUGACAGUACCUGAAGAAUAAGCACCGGCUAACUACGUGCCAGCCGCCGCUGUAACAC